rnacentral:misc_RNA from 1 species
GAUGAAGAACGUAGCGAAAUGCGAUAAGUAAUGUGAAUUGCAGAUUUCAGUGAAUCAUCGAAUCUUUGAACGCACAUUGCGCCCGCCAGUAUUCUGGCGGGCAUGCCUGUUCGAGCGUCAUUACAACCCUCAGGCCCCCGGGCCUGGCGUUGGGGAUCGGCGGAGCCCCCCGUGGGCACACGCCGUCCCCCAAAUACAGUGGCGGUCCCGCCGCAGCUUCCAUCGCGUAGUAGCUAACACCUCGCGACUGGAGAGCGGCGCGGCCACGCCGUAAAACACCCAACUCUUCUGAAGUUGACCUCGAAUCAGGUAGGAAUACCCGCUGAACUUAAGCAUAUCAAUAAGCGGAGGA